CCUCCCCAGCUCCCCCAAAGCGGAGGUCACCUUCUGCCGGCCAGGCGGUCUCCGUUCCCGGCCGGUGUCGCGUCUCACAGGCCCGGGGAUGCAGAGACCCGCGGUUUCUAAGACCUGCCUCCCUCCGACUCUUCUGGAUUUCAACGCCCUGGUUCAGAUAGAUUUAGCCCAAAUAGAAAUGAAUUUCUAUGUUGCGUUCCGGUUCAACUUCAGAGGACCAGUCUUAGCCCUAAGAUGUUGUCGAUGUGUUUCUCUGGAAUUGUACAGGAGCUUCUGAACAUUUUAAAAGGAUGUUUGCUUUGAGUGUCUGAAAAACGUUAGUGGAAAAUGCUUUGAGUAAACAUGUUCUACUUCUGGAGAAAGGCCUUCUUGUGGUCUCCUGUGGGCGGAGACGAUGACUCUGUGAAAGUCACCUCAGAUAAGCCUUAACUUGCAAAUAAAAGGUAAAGAAUCAAACAGGAUGAAAAUGCUUACAGUGCUGUGUAUUGUAAGCUUCUGUCUCAGCUCCCAUCCUGAUCCUCAGACCAACUGCUCAUUCUUUCUGACUUCUUGAACUAUAGUAUGGAAACCAGCUGCUGUUUCUCUUCUCUCCUGUUCUCAUUUAAAGUAUUAAUGAGAUCUCUGUAAGUAAAAUUUCUGAGUCAAAAAGCAGAACGAACUGUUUUCCAUAAGGCCCUAUCCUUCCAUCCUCCCCCAACUGUGUCUUUCUUUUUACACUUUUGUUAUAGUGAAUAUUAUUAUUUUUCCAGCUUGUCAGGUGACAAUGGUAUUUUGUUCUCUGAUUAUUGAUAAAGAUACAUACCUUUGCAUUUGCAGUUUAAAAUUUUUUUUUCAUAAUCUGCUAAUCUGCCAGGGUGGACCUUUGUCUUGUUUUGUUUUCUUUACCUAGUGACUCUAUUCACCUUACUUCUAAAACUAACCGUGGG